rnacentral:misc_RNA from 1 species
UCCGGUUUGUCACCGGCAGUCUUGCAUGAGUCCCCGGCCGAACCGCUGGCAACAUGCAACGGGGGUUGCGCUCGUUGCGGGACUUAACCCAACAUCUCACGACACGAGCCGACGACAGCCAUGCAGCACCUGUGCUGGCCACCCUUGCGGUUUCAUUGCCGUUUCCGGUUCUUACUACCAGCAUGUCAAACCUGGGUAAGGUUCUUCGCGUUGCGUCGAAUUAAACCACAUGCACCACCGCUUGUGCGGGCCCCCGUCAAUUCCUUUGAGUUUUAGCCUUGCGGCCGUACUCCCCAGGCGGGGUGCUUAAUGCGUUAGCUUCGGCACAGAGCGGGUCAAUCGCCGCCCCACACCUAGCACCCAACGUUUACGGCUAGGACUAC